rnacentral:lncRNA from 1 species
GGGGAUGUACUGCAGCGUUUCUCGGGGAUAUACUCUGGGAUGUACUGCAGCAUUUCUCGGGGGUAUACUCUUUGGGAUAUACUGAAGUGAUUCUUGGGGAUAUACUCUUUGGGAUAUACUGGAGCGAUUCUCGGGGAUAUACUCGGGGAUAUACUGCAGCGAUUCUUGGGGAUAUACUCUUUGGGGUAUACUGCAGCGAUUCUCGGGAGUAUACUCUUUGGGAUGUACUGCAGCGAUUCUCGGAGGUAUACUCUUUGGGAUAUACUGCCGUGAUUCUUGGGGAUAUACUCUUUGGGAUAUACUGCAAUGUUUCUCGGGGAUAUACUCUUUGGAAUAUACUGCAGCGAUUCUCGGGAGUAUACUCUUUGGGAUGUACUGCAGCGAUUCUCGGGUGUAUACUCUGGGAUGUACUGCAGCAUUUCUCGGGGAUAUACUCUUUGGAAUAUACUGCAGCGAUUCUCGGAGGUAUACUCUUUGGGAUAUACUGCAGCGAUUCUCGGGGGUAUACUCUUUGGGAUACACUGCAGCGUUUCUCGGGGAUAUACUCUUUGGGGUAUACUGCAGCGAUUCUCGGGAGUAUACUCUUUGGGAUGUACUGCAGCGAUUCUCGGGGGUAUACUCUGGGAUGUACUGCAGCGAUUCUCGGGGGUAUACUCUUUGGGAUGUACUGCAGCUUUUCUCACUGUGUAUAGCCAUCGCAUUUCUGGUGAGAUGUUACAUUCUUACCUAAUUGCAGUGAGCCCCUACCUAAUUUCCCUUACCUGUGAUUGGGGUGGGGCGGUGGUGGAAGGAAAAUGAAAAAGAGCCAGGUUUCUUGCCAGUUUUGAAAUCCUGUGAAACACAACACCUGUAUCUGGGACUAUGCUCAGGCGACCAGCAUGAGUUUAUCACCUGUUUUUGGCCAGGCUCCAUGGCACGUAGAAGUUCCCAGGCUGGGGAUCGAACCAGCACCAAAGUUGCCACCUGUGCCACAGCCGUGGCAGUGCCAGAUCCUAAACCCACUAGGUCACAAGGGAACUUCCAAGUUUAUCACUCUUUAUUUCCAUUGCUAUUUAUAUAUUUAUUUAUUUUUUUGUCUUUUUGCCUUUUCUAGGGCUGCUCCCGGAGCAUAUGGAGGUUCCACAGGCUAGGGGUCUAAUUGGAGCUGUAGCCACCGGCCUACACCAGAGCCACAGCAAUGCGGGAUCUGAGCCGCGUUUGCGACCCACACCACAGCUCAUGGCAACGCCGGAUCCUUAACCCACUGAGCAAGGCCAGGGUUUGAACCUGCAACCUCCCUUCCUAGUCGGAUUCGUUAACCACUGCGCCACAACGGGAACUCCUCCAUUCUUGUUUAUUUAUCUAUUGAAAAUAGCAACAUGUAUAAUUUUGGUCCUUUGCCAUUUGACUUCUGUAUGAUUGGCUAUAGCUCCCUAAUUAUCAUUCUCGCUCCAGUCUUGCUCCUUCUAGUGUGUGUUAGUGUUAUGUGAUCUUUAAGUCUGGUCUCAUCAGUUCUUGGUAAUUUCAUUGUGUCUAACAGUGUCAAAGAUGUAUGUAAUUCUGUUGACAUUUUCGUAAAUUUUACAUAUCUUUGGCAUUUGCCAAAUUUAACUCUUCUCUCACAUAUUUUUUCUCCCGUAAUUUUAGGAAAUUUUAUUUUUGCGUUUGAAUAGGACAAGAGUUAACUGAUUUUUUUAAAUUUGUUUUUUGUACCUAGAAUUGAUUUGAAGAUACUGCUCAGUACAUGGCAUACUGUCAUGGUCAGUCUGUGCAAAACCCUAUGUAUUUUUUAUCCUCUAGUCUCUGUCCCAUUCUUUUCUUCGUUGUAAUAGGCUCCCAUUCUUAUGACUUUAAAAGGUAGAUUAGCGGGAAACAUUUAAAGGGUGCCUUACUAGCUUACCAGUCUUGAGUACUUAUUCGCAGUAGUACUUGGAAUAUAACAGGUUUGAGGAAUGUUCAGGUGUAUUCACAUGCCCGAUGUAAUGCUCCUUUUAAGGAGAAAAUGUUUGGGGCCAAUUAGAAAUAAAUUAGGCGUAUUUGUGAAGCAGGAAAAAACAGUCAUUAGGGAGAAAAGUAUUACCCAUUAGUUUCUGGUUUUAGUGUUGCCAAUUUCUUUUUUUUUUUUUUUUUUAAGGGCCGCACCUGCGGCAUAUGGAGAUUCCCAAGCUAGGGGUCACACUGGAGCUACAGCUGCCGGCCUGCACCACAGCCACAGCAAUGCAGGAUCCGAGCUGCAUCUGCGACCUACACCACAGCUCAUGGCCAUGCUGGAUCCUUAACCCACUGAGCGAGGCCAGGGAUCAAACCUGCAAAUGGUUCCUAGUUGGAUUCGUUUCCACUCCGCCAGGACAGGAACUUCAAUGCUGCCAGUUUCUCCUGGCGCAAAUGCCAGAACUCCCCCCGAUUGCCCCUCAAAUCUAGAAUUAGUAGUUUUAAUAACCUUUUAAGUAAACUUCUAUAAAUGACCGGGGUCAACAUAGUAAUUCCUGAAGUUAAUAUGUCGUGAUUACAACUUUACUCCUUGUAGAGCUGUGUUCAGAAAAAUGACACUGAGAAAAUGACUUAAGAAAGGUUGGUUGGAGCAGAAAUUGGCACAACAUUGUAAAUAACUGUAAUUUAAAAAUU